GUCCUUGUAGCGCAAUGGAUUGCGUGUUGGACUUCUAAUCCAAAGGUCGUGGGUUCCAAUCUCACCAGGAAUG